UACGGGGGGGGGCAAGCGUUGUUCGGAAUUACUGGGCGUAAAGGGCUCGUAGGCGGCCAACUAAGUCAGACGUGAAAUCCCUCGGCUUAACCGGGGAACUGCGUCUGAUACUGGAUGGCUUGAGUUUGGGAGAGGGAUGCGGAAUUCCAGGUGUAGCGGUGAAAUGCGCAGAUAUCGGGAGGAACACCAAUGGCGAAGGCAGCUCGCUGGGACGGUACUGACGCUGAGGCGCGAAAGCGUGGGGAGCAAACAGG
rnacentral:rRNA from 1 species